GGGAAGCAAAGCCGCGAGAUGGAGCAAACCCCCCAAAAAGCGGUCCCAGUUCGGAUUGUAGGCUGCAACCCGCCUACAUGAAGUUGGAAUUGCUAGUAAUCGCAGAUCAGAAUGCUGCGGUGAAUACGUUCCCGGGCCUUGUACACACCGCCCGUCACACCAUGGGAGCCGGUAAUACCCGAAGUCAGUAGUCUAACCGCAAGGGGGACGCUGCCGAAGGUAGGAUUGGCGACUGGGGUGAAGUCGUAACAAGGUAGC
rnacentral:rRNA from 1 species